rnacentral:lncRNA from 1 species
CUUAUGCUGGGGUCCACUGAAAACUGGGAACGUUUUAGUCUCAGAGGAACACAGCUUCAGAUAACAGUUUGAUUGCCAUUUCAUGAAAGACCCUGAGCCAGAGGCACCAAAGUAAGCUACAACCGGAAUUCUGAUCCACAGACACUGGGGGAUAAUAAAGGGCACUGAAUGAGCUGUAAAAGGUCAGAAGAAGCCAUCCUGAAGAAACAGCUAAAUAAGUCAUUAAAUUUCUUUAUAUAUCAUGAA